rnacentral:misc_RNA from 1 species
GAAAUGCGAUAAGUAAUGUGACUUGCAAUUUUUUAGUGACCCAUCGAAUUUUUGAACGCACCUUGCACCGUUUGGUAUUCCGAACGGUAUGCCUGUUUGAGUGUCUUGACAUUCUCAAUCCCUCUGUAUUUUAUUAUGCAUGAUGGUGUAUUGGUCUUGAACGUUUUGCCGGUUUCUCGCGCAUUUUAUUAUGCAAACAGAGACUGGCUCGUUUUAAAGUGAUUAGCUGGUAAGCAUUCAUAUGCAAUUUCCCACUUAGCACCUGAGCGUAAUAAUUAUUUCGUUCACGGUCAGGGUAUAUUGCUCGGAUCAUAAACCGCUUCUAACCCGUUAGUGUGUCGGAGCAGCAAUGCUUGUUGAUGCACAACACCCACUUUUGUAAAUCAGACCUCAAAUCAGG